rnacentral:rRNA from 1 species
GCGCGCAAUUACCCAAUCCCGACACGGGGAGGUAGUGACAAUAAAUACUGAUACAGGGCUCUUUUGGGUCUUGUAAUUGGAAUGAGUACAAUUUAAAUCCCUUAACGAGGAACAAUUGGAGGGCAAGUCUGGUGCCAGCAGCCGCGGUAAUUCCAGCUCCAAUAGCGUAUAUUAAAGUUGUUGUGGUUAAAAAGCUCGUAGUUGAACCUUGGGCCUGGCUGGCCGGUCCGCCUCACCGCGUGUACUGGUCCGGCCGGGCCUUUCCCUCUGUGGAACCCCAUGCCCUUCACUGGGUGUGGCGGGGAAACAGGACUUUUACUUUGAAAAAAUUAGAGUGCUCCAGGCAGGCCUAUGCUCGAAUACAUUAGCAUGGAAUAAUAGAAUAGGACGUGUGGUUCUAUUUUGUUGGUUUCUAGGACCGCCAUAAUGAUUAAUAGGGACAGUCGGGGGCAUCAGUAUUCAAUUGUCAGAGGUGAAAUUCUUGGAUUUAUUGAAGACUAACUACUGCGAAAGCAUUUGCCAAGGAUGUUUUCAUUAAUCAGGAACGAAAGUUAGGGGAUCGAAGACGAUCAGAUACCGUCGUAGUCUUAACCAUAAACUAUGCCGACUAGGGAUCGGACGAUGUUAUUUUUUGACUCGUUCGGCACCUUACGAGAAAUCAAAGUGCUUG